UAUAUAAACCCAGCCUAUCUACCCGACACAACCCCAUUAUUCUCUCUCGCUCUGCCUCUCUCCGUCGAAUCCUCACCGCUCGUCCUUCUCCUCCUCGACACCACUGCGAUUUCCUCUUCCCCAAACCUAAGUCGUUUAGGAAAUAGAAGCCAUAAACCUCUAUCAUCUUCAAUCGUUCAAUCUUCAACCUCGUCCUAGAGGAAUUAACCCUUCCGUCGAAACCCUAAACCGAGAGAAGUUCUGCCAAAGAAGAUCUGAAAUUGUCCACCAUUCAAGCAAAAAAAAUACGUACCCGAGGCCAAAGAAGAAGAAAAACAUCUAAUAGCAGAGAUUCGAAGUCUGAUUAUUGCUAAAACAUACAAAUAAAGAAUAUCGGCUGAAAAGAUAAGUGAAUUCCAAUGAUUUAAACUAUAUUUUUGUUGGUCUGUUUUCUAGAUGAUGAUUACGCUUAAUUUACAUCUUUGGUUAACAGUUGAUUGUUUUUUAUUUAUUAAUAAUUAAUGAUAUGAAACCCUAAAUCAUUUAUAUUACACAUACGCACCUAAGUCUGAAUAGAACAACUCAUCGUGAAUGAACAAUUUGAAAUUCAAAUUACUCCUGAAAAAUAGAAAAAAAACUACACCUACUGAACACAUAAGUAAAAUCUUCAAUUUUUUUUUUUAAAUUUUUACUAACUGUGUUUCUCUUUUAUCAAUAUAUAUAUACAUCUUAAUUCAUUUGUUGUCUUGUAUAUUAAUUCCUGUCAGUAGUGUUAUUUACUUGAAAAUUUUAUUUAUACUGUAUACAGUAAUAUAAAAUUCUUUUUGUACCUUUAUUUGAAUGACCAUACUUUCUUUUGCAACCAAUGGUGGUAGAUUUUUCUAACUUUCUCAUCAUUCUUUGAGUUGCUGCCUUGCAUGAACAGUCACAGAGAACCUGAAGUUUGAAAGUAGCCUUUAAGUUUUGGAUGUUUAUUUAUAUAGAAGCAAUAGCACUUGAUUACCUUAUUAAAGCACUGUUCUAUUCUUGUAAAGGAUUACUAUUUUCUAGACUUGUGUUAAAGAAGUGAAUUACCUUUUUAUUCCGAAUGUAA